AUGUUUCAUGAUCUGUUCUCUAGACAGCUUCAAUUAUUUCACUUGAAUUUUGGAACUAUCACACUGCUUCCUAAGAAGACGGAUGCUGUGAGAAUUGAGCAGUUCAGGCCAAUCUGCCUUCUCAAUGUUAGUUUUAAAAUAUUCACCAAGGUCGGGACUAAUAGGCUCACACAGAUUGCGCAUUCUGUGGUGCAGCACUCCCAAACUGCUUUCAUGCCGGACAGAAACAUCCUUGAAGGGGUGGUCGUCCUUCAUGAAACGCUCCAUGAAAUCCAUUCCAAGAAGUUAGAUGGUGUCAUUUUUAAGGUGGAUUUCGAGAAAGCGUACGAUAAGGUCAAAUGGCCAUUUCUCCAACAGGCAUUGCGUAUGAAAGGUUUUGAUGAAGCCUGGCGACGCCAGGUCGAAUCAUUUACGCAAAAAGGGAGUGUGGGAAUUAAAGUGAAUGACGAUAUUGGUCAUUACUUCAAGACACAUAAAGGCCUAAGACAAGGAGAUCUGAUGUCCCCUAUCCUGUUUAACAUUGUGGUUGAUAUGUUAGCCAUCUUGAUAGGAAGGGCUAAGGAGAAUGGUCAAGUGGGUGGCUUGGUACCUCAUUUGGUUGAUGGAGGUGUAUCCAUCCUUCAGUACGCUGAUGAUACAAUCAUCUUUAUGGAGCAUGACCUGGCCAAGGCGAGAAAUAUGAAGCUGGUGUUAUGCCUUUUCGAACAAUUGACCGGGUUAAAGAUUAACUUUCAUAAGAGCGAGCUGUUCUGCUUUGGUAGAGCCAAAGACGAACAGGAGGCUUAUAGGCAAUUGUUUGGGUGCGACUUGGGGGAUUUACCUUUCUCUUACCUAGGUAUUCCAAUCCACCAUCGAAAGCUGACCAAUAGAGAAUGGAAGUGCAUCGAAGACCGGUUUGAGAAGAAACUGAGUUGCUGGAAGGGCAAGCUCAUGUCAUAUGGAGGCCGAUUAAUUCUGAUUAAUUCGGUGCUCACGAGUAUGCCUAUGUUUCUCUUAUCGUUCUUUCAAGUCCCAGUUGGUGUUAGGAAAAGACUGGACUUUUAUCGAUCGCGUUUUUUUGGCAGGGUGAUGAGCUAA
rnacentral:rRNA from 1 species